GAUGAUACGCGAGGAACCUUACCAGGGCUUAAAUGUAGGUUGACAGGCUCGGAAACAGGUUUUUCUUCGGACAACUUACAAGGUGCUGCAUGGUUGUCGUCAGCUCGUGCCGUGAGGUGUCAGGUUAAGUCCUAUAACGAGCGCAACCCCUGUCGUUAGUUGCCAGCGAGUCAUGUCGGGAACUCUAACGAGACUGCCGGUGCAAACCGUGAGGAAGGUGGGGAUGACGUCAAAUCAUCACGGCCCUUACGUCCUGGGCUACACACGUGCUACAAUGGCCGGUACAGAGAGCAGCCACCUCGCGAGGGGGAGCGAAUCUAUAAAGCCGGUCACAGUUCGGAUCGGAGUCUGCGACCCGACUCCGUGAAGCUGGAAUCGCUAGUAAUCGGAUAUCAGCCAUGAUCCGGUGAAUACGUUCCCGGGCCUUGUACACACCGCCCGUCAAGCCAUGGAAGCUGGGGGUACCUGAAGUCGGCGACCGCAAGGAGCUGCCUAGGGUAAAACUGGUAACUGGGGCUAAGUCGUAACAAGGUAACCGU
rnacentral:rRNA from 1 species